rnacentral:lncRNA from 1 species
UGGCCCUGUAAUGAUGUUCCCUCCAAUGCCUGAAAGGGUACUCAAGGGAGUUUUUAAGCUCCAUUUCUGAGGCCAGAAGACAUGCGAGAUGACUGUGACAUCAGCACCUGUGUCCAUCGUCCCUUGGAUUGAGAUCGUCUUGCUGUUAUAUGUCAAGUUGCAGGUGAUUACAGGUCUAUCAUGACUUAUCUGCUCCACCCAGAUUGUCAAUAGACCAUAAGCUCUACAGGAAAAAAAAGAACUAAAUAUAACACAACAACCUGAGAAGAGGGUCUGGUGUGAUGAAGGACCUACAAGAACAGACUGAGCUAGCUACUGACAGAUGUUCACAGACUACUUCAGUAAUCACAGUGUUCAUUGCCUUUGCUGCUGCUGGCUCUGCAGACCCGACGCCUUUCCGGCACCCUGGUUUUUCAUGAAGAGGCAUCUGACAAAUAUUACAGAGACACAACCUGAGCAGCCUUUCUUGCCACUGCUGCACUUGUCAGCAAUUUUGUGUCCAUAGAACAGAAACCAAAGAAAUAAUAUAAUUCUGCCAGUUAGGGAAGUGGCCUAUGGUUAAACUAAUUACAGCAAUUUUUUUUAAAGCUGCCUCAAGCUUAAAUGCUUCAUGAUACAAU